rnacentral:tRNA from 1 species
AGAAGGGUAGCACAAUAGGUAGUGCAUUGGUCUCCAAAACCAAGGGUUGUGGGUUCGAGUCCCAUCCUUUCUG